UAGCCUACGGGGGGCAGCAGUGGGGAAUAUUGCACAAUGGGCGAAAGCCUGAUGCAGCAACGCCGCGUGAAGGAAGACGGUUUUCGGAUCGUAAAACCCUGUUGUUAGAGAAGAAAGUGCGUGAGAGUAACUGUUCACGUUUCGACGGUAUCUAACCAGAAAGCCACGGCUAACUACGUGCCAGCAGCCGCGGUAAUACGUAGGUGGCAAGCGUUAUCCGGAUUUAUUGGGCGUAAAGGGAACGCAGGCGGUCUUUUAAGUCUGAUGUGAAAGCCUUC
rnacentral:rRNA from 1 species